rnacentral:rRNA from 1 species
GACAGAGGGUGCAAACGUUGCUCGGAAUCACUGGGCGUAAAGGGGGUGUAGGCGGGCAUGUAAGUCGGGCGUGAAAGCCCCAGGCUCAACCUGGGAACUGCACUCGAAACUGCGUUUCUUGAGUAUCGGAGAGGAAAGCGGAAUACCUGGUGUAGAGGUGAAAUUCGUAGAUAUCGGGAGGAACACCAGUGGCGAAGGCGACUACCUGGCCUGUUCUUGACGCUGAGGCGCGAAAGCUAGGGGAGCAAACGGG